GACGGGGGGUCCUAGCGUUGUUCGGAAUCAUUGGGCGUAAAGAGCGUGUAGGCGGCUCGGUAAGUCCGCUGUGAAAGUCCAGGGCUCAACCCUGGAAUGCCGGUGGAAACUGUCGAGCUAGAGUCCGGAAGAGGCGAGUGGAAUUCCUGGUGUAGCGGUGAAAUGCGCAGAUAUCAGGAGGAACACCAAUGGCGAAGGCAGCUCGCUGGGACGGUACUGACGCUGAGACGCGAAAGCGUGGGGAGCAAACAGG
rnacentral:rRNA from 1 species